AUUCUGUGGGAUGAUUCAGCCAUAAAUUCCUUGUUUCCUAUAAAACCGCAUAAAUCAAGUUGUUAGGACCUUCGAACGGUAUACUAACUGGGGAAAGAAUAAAAGAAAUCUACAUCAACAGGGAGUAUUUAACAAAUACUAUUGGGGAUAGCACUGCACAUAUGGUGUCAGAAGGCCUAGGAGCAGUUUGAUAAGAUGUCCGCGGUCAUGCAUAUGGGAUGAGAAGUCUUCCUCACAGUGCAUCUAUAACAACAGUAGACUGGCAUCCGACGUCGCCCAUCUUCUUGACUGGAUCUGCAGAUUACUCGGUUCGGGUUACAUCUAUGGCAUGACAGCUUCUGGUUUCUCUGGUUCGUUGUUGUUUCGGAUAGUCCGAUGAAUUGAAAAUGUAAAAUUUAUUUUGAUAUCCAGUGUGUCUAGGUGGACUUUGAAAGCUAUCUGUCCAAUUUUAAGUUUUAAUUACAACCAUUAGUCAAAGGCAUCAUUGCAAGCAACAAUAGAAUACAAAGGUGCUAUCUUGGUAUAAAUGAGGCUUACAGAAAUAUUAACAGGAAUAAAGGACACAGAAGAAGAGAGGUCUUGCUUCAUGAACUCUUUGGGACCUUACGAUGCCGCAAAAAUCCUUCAGGCGUCAUAGUUUAAUUUUGUGGAGAUUCUGCAAUAGUGGAUCAAAUGAUUUUGCUUUAUCCAAUCAGUAUGUGUUAGCUUUGAACUAUCGGUUGCAUCGACGAGGGAAUAGCUUUAUGUAACUAAAUAUAUUGAGAAUAAUUUUAGAUUAAUUUGCUUA